UACGUAGGGGCCUAGCGUUGUCCGGAUUUAUUGGGCGUAAAGAGCGUGUAGGCGGCCUUUCAGGUCAGCUGUGAAAACUCGAGGCUCAACCUCGAGACGUCGGUUGAAACCGUAAGGCUAGAGUCCGGAAGAGGAGAGUGGAAUUCCCGGUGUAGCGGUGAAAUGCGCAGAUAUCGGGAAGAACACCAGUGGCUAAGGCGGCUCGCUAGUACGGUACUGACGCUGAGACGCGAAAGCGUGGGGAGCGAACAGG
rnacentral:rRNA from 1 species